CACGUAGGGGCCAAGCGUUGUCCGGAUUUAUUGGGCGUAAAGAGCUCGUAGGCGGUUGGGUAAGUCGGGUGUGAAAACUCCAGCUCAACUUGGAGACGCCACCCGAUACUGCUCUGACUUGAGUUCGGUAGGGGAGUGGGGAAUUCCUGGUGUAGCGGUGAAAUGCGCAGAUAUCAGGAGGAACACCCGGUGGCGAAGGCGGGCUCUC
rnacentral:rRNA from 1 species